rnacentral:lncRNA from 1 species
CAUCAGCAUUUUUCUUUUUAAUGUCUUGCAGGCGGAGGGAAAGGUGUGAAAUUGCUCAUUUUCGGCGCCUAUUACAUUGAACAAGUAAUAGGAAGAUGUCGCUUCGCUGUGCAGAUGGCAGAAUGUGUCCCCUGAGGGAACCUGGCCAACUCUGAGCUCCCAGGCACAGAUCCAGAGCGCGAGCAUGUCUCUGCACACCUGCGCGGCCAUCUUGCCGGAGCCUGUGGCUCUUCUAGGUAACGAUGCCCCAGAAGGACCAGGGAGAGAGCAGCAUGUGAGCAGGAGUCUCUCCUUUGUAUUGAGGAAAAGAUGCUCUUUUUUUUCUGAGGGUUGCUGCUGCCUUGGAGAGAUGGCUUCCUGCUUCUUAAUGACUAAGCAGCUGGAGAAAACCAGCUUCUUCCUUUCACAGCAGUGUGUUUUCUUUGGGAAAUACGAAGCCUAGCUCUUGCCAACAGUUCUGGAACCUUGACCCUGCGGUGCUCCGCGGUUCUGCAGAUGUGCAACAUCCAAUGUGUGCAAGUCGGUGCGUCCAUCCAAAAGCACAAAAACCAUCCUCACCUCCAGUCUCCACCGCAGAUGGCCAGUGAGUUGGAAAGUCAACAUCUCAACUAUUUAUUUUUUUUUGCACCAUCUCCAGCUGUUUGGAAAUCUAUGUGGAACUCCCAUAAAUUUAACAUGUCUCUGUGGACAGUCUUUUUUUUUUUUAUUCAGAGUGUGUUAAUUAGCAAUAGCAGGAGACACAGAGCCGGAAGCCCUGAUUUUUUCUUUUUUCUUUUUUUUUUUUUUUUUUGAGCUAUUGUCUUCAUAUCUGUAAAAUGGGAUCCUAAAAAUGUUGACUUCAGAGAGGACAAUGAAUAAGAGAAAAUGUUAGAAAGGAAUGAGAGAGCACAUUAUAAAUUCCAAAGCCAAAAUAUUAUCCUAUGAUUUAACUAUGAAAGUUGGCCAUUUGCAAUGUAACCUGUUCUUAGGACAAAUUUAACAAAUUGAUCACUGUGAUUUUUUUUGACCGACCUAUUACUAUGGUUUCCAUAAGUGACAAAUAGCUAGCAGAAAUGGAUAUAUAAAGGAUUCAGAACUAUUGCUUGUCUAUGCAGUGAAAGAAAGUGGUGAAGUUUUGUUUAAUUUAUGGGAGAAAUAAAGAAGAAAGAAAAUGAAGAUGUAUAAACAUAAAACAAAAACAGAUUAACGCAAAGACUAAGCCCAACUCAGGUGAGAAGAAAUGCAGUCACGCAUCUUUUUUUUUUUAAAGAGAGAGAGAGGAGAGAGGAGAGAGAGAGAGAAAUUUUUUUUAAUAUUUAUUUUUUAGUUUUCGGCAGUCACAACAUCUUUGUAUGUGGUGCUGAGGAUCGAACCCGGGUCACACACACACGCCAGGCGAGUGCGCUACCGCUUGAGCCACAUCCCCAGCCCAGUCAUGCAUCAUUUAAUGAUGGUGACACCUUCUGAUAUCUGAGGGGGACACCAUCAUUAGGUGUGCACACAUUGGUGUGUAACAUAAUCUAUACUAGAUUACAUUAAGUAAUUGGUGUGUACUUAACAUAAUCUAGUAUAGCCUACUACAUACUUAGGCUGUAAAAUAUAUACGGAUGUAUGUGUGUAUAGUGUGUGUGCGCGCGUGCGUGUGUGUGCAUGUGUGUGCGUGCAUGCGUGAGUUCGUGUGUGUGUGUGUGUGUGUGUGUGUGUAUUUGAUGGCCUACUGCUCCCAGGACCAUGGUGAACAAAACAACAUGAGAUGAAAUUAAGCACAGGAGAAAAAGAAAGAUGUAAUUGAGAGACCAGGCAAAUGGAUGAGGCUGCUGCCAGCAUCACACAGCAGAUGGUUUUAGUCACCUCUUUUCUUACAUAAAUAAGAGUACACUCAAAAAUAGAGAUAUACUAGAGUAAAUACAUAAACCACCAACACAGUAGUUUAUUAUCAAUAUUAAGUAUUGCUAAACUAUGGAGCCAACCUAAAUGCCCUUCAGUAGAUGAAUGGAUAUUUAAAAAGUGGCAUAUCUACACAAUGGAAUAUUACUCAGCAAUAAAAAAGAAUAAAAUCAUGGCAUUUUCAGGUAAAUGAAUGGAGUUAGAGAAGAUAAUGCUAAGUGAAGUUAGCCAAUCCCAAAAAAACAAAUGCUGAGUGUUUUCUUUGAUAUAAGGAGGCUGAUUCAUAGUGGG